AGCUCCAAUAGCGUAUAUUAAAGUUGUUGCAGUUAAAAAGCUCGUAGUUGGAUUUCGGGGUGGCCUGCCUGGUCCACCGCAAGGUGAGUACUGGUCAGCCGCCCUUCCUCUCGAAAGCCCCGACUGCUCUUCAUUGCAGUGGUCGGGUAGUUCGGGACGUUUACUUUGAAAAAAUUAGAGUGUUCAAAGCAGGCAUUCAUCGUGCCCGAAUACAUGAGCAUGGAAUAAUGGAACAGGACUACGGUCACUGCACUUUUUCCGUUGGUUUCGGAGGACCGAAGUAAUGAUUAAGAGGGACAGUUGGGGGCAUCCGUAUUUCGUAGUCAGAGGUGAAAUUCUUGGAUCUGCGAAAGACGAACGAGUGCGAAAGCAUUUGCCAAGAGUGUUUUCAUUAAUCAAG
rnacentral:rRNA from 1 species